rnacentral:rRNA from 1 species
GAAUUUUAUAUAGUUAAUUGAUUCGAUUAAGUUGUAGGAUUAGAUUAGUUAUAUUUGAUUGGGAGGAUUAUUAAAUUAAAAAAACUUUAAUUAAGUUAUAAUAUAAAUUAAUAGGUUUAGGAAUGGUUAUUAAAUUAAAAAAGAAUUAAUUACCUUAGGGAUAACAGCGUAAUAUUUUUAGAGAGUUCUUAUUAAUAAAAAUGUUUGC